AAAGUUUAUAAAUUCUUCUUAUAAAGGAGUAGUCACUAAAGAAGGGAGCACCACCACCAUUCAAGACAAACAAGGAAAAUGCCUGACAGUUGACAGAGGAACAAGACAUUUUGAAAAGAUGGACAGAAUACUGCUCAGAAUUGUACAACUACAAAGCCACGAGAAACCCCGAGAUUCUAAACGUUCCCCCAGCAACCAACAUCGAUAACCACCCAGUCCUUCGAGAAGAAGUUGAAGCAGCAGUUAAAGCACUGAAGAAGGGGAAAUCAGCAGGAGUGGACAACAUCCCAGGAGAAUUGAUACAGGCAGGGGGAAAGGACAUGAUAAGCGCUCUGACUGUCAUCUGCAACAAGAUCUGGCAGACAGGAAAGUGGCCAACACCAUGGACACAAUCACUAGUGAUUACACUCCCCAAGAAAGGUCUUUCUGAGAGGCCUACGCUGAACUGACUGGAGACCGUUACGUAACGACGUCUUGCAAACGUUGAUGUGGCAGGCAGGCCAGCUCGUCCAGUUAGCUUUUGUACUAGUGGUUGGAAAUUCAAUAAAAACCUUCACCCCCCUCCCCUUAGGGACAC